rnacentral:rRNA from 1 species
CCUACGGGUGGCAGCAGUGAGGAAUAUUGGUCAAUGGGCGUAAGCCUGAACCAGCCAAGUCGCGUGAGGGAUGAAGGUUCUAUGGAUCGUAAACCUCUUUUAUAAGGGAAUAAAGUGCGGGACGUGUCCCGUUUUGUAUGUACCUUAUGAAUCAGGAUCGGCUAACUCUGUGCCAGCAGCCGCGGUAAUGCCGCGGAUCCGAUCGUUAUCCGGAUUUGUUGGGUUGAAAGGGUGCGUAGGCGGCCUUUUAAGUCAGCGGUUGAAGUCUGUGGCUCAACCAUAGAAUUGCCGUUGAAACUGGUAGGCUUGAGUAUGUUAGAGGCAGGCGGAAUGCGAGGUGUAGCGGUGAAAUGCUUAGAUAUAACGCAGAACCCCGAUUGCGAAGGCAGCCUGCCAAGCCAUGACUGACGCUGAUGCACGAAAGCGUGGGGAUCAAACAGGAUUAGAUACCCCAGUAGUC